rnacentral:miRNA from 1 species
CUAAGACACUCCUAUGCGUGCUUUAAAUAGUACAUACAUAUAUAUAUAUAUAUAUAUAUAUAUAUAUAUAUAUAUAUAUAUAUAUGUAUGUACUAUUUAAAGCACACGUAGGAGUGUCUUAU